rnacentral:tRNA from 1 species
GCCUGGGUGGCUUAGUGGUUGAGCAUCUGCCUUUGGCUCAGGGCAUGAUCCCUGGGCCGUGGGAUCAAGUCCCACAUCAGGCU